rnacentral:lncRNA from 1 species
CUCUGGUUCUACUUUCUUUCAAAAAACUUAGAAAAGCAGCAGAGACCCAAAAGGAAGAAAGAAAGUUUUCCAAGAUGCCAUCUGCCUUUUUCCCAACCCAAUUGCGGUUACAGCUGAGCUUGGCAAUGCAUGGCUGCCUCUGACGUGUCAGGCUUAGCUGUCGACUAGGUAGCUGAUGUGGCUAUAUGAGCACGGAUCAGCCGCUGCUCCAGCUCUCUCCAGCAUCAGGCAAAACCCUUACCCCCAUGCAAUUGAUGCACGCUCACCACGUGUUCCCACUUUCUCUGCUUUUCUAUAUAAUUCCACCCACCUUCUGCUUUUCUUUCCCAGAAAUCCAUCAAGAUAACACUGUAGAAGAAUCACAAUCAUACAGCAAUCUCAAAGCAAAACAAAGCUAUAACAUUCACCCAUUUUUUUAGAAGUUGAUCUCUCUGCUUCUUCCUCUGUUUCUUCUUCGUCUUCUUCUUCAAUAUGUGUGCUCUCUUGAACAUCGCAAUGUUGGUUAUGACGAUGCAGCAUUACGCGGAUGGAGACUGCGACAACCACUAUGAUGAUUACUCCACUAUAAUUGCUGCUGAAUGCCGUGGUAAUUAUGAAGGUGACGAUGGAGAUGAUGAUGAUGACGGUGGAGAUUACGAUUUCGCCCCUGCUGCUUAAAAAUCAUAUCAUACCAUAUAUAUAAUAUAGCUUAGUUGUGAUGCUUGCUGCUUAUAGAUUCAGCUCCAUAACUCCAUUAGUAAAGCUAAUUAUAGAUAUAGAGCUAGCGCGGCAAAUACCAUUUUGUAAGCAAUGAGAGGCUUCGAGCAGGAUUUAUUUAGCUUAUAUUAUAAACGUUAACGUACGUUAUAUCUGUCUAUUACGGUCCUGUUUUGGGAAGGAAUGCAUGCGUGACUUGUUGUUAGUUCACACAUCCAUGCAAUUUUAGUUUACAAUGGUAUGAUUGGAUGGAUGACAAUUGCAUGUUGUUAAAAUUAGCUGCAACCUCACUUUUCUAUUUUAUUAUUUUGUAAUUUACUAUGAUUAGAAUGUGGAGAUUAGGAGACGGAAGAUAAUAUAUAUAUAAUAAUGGUUUCCCCUCUAAUCUACAUAUAUGGUUCAACUAAUCAUUGUAUAUAUAUAUAACGUAUAUAACGUUUUG